rnacentral:lncRNA from 1 species
CGGUAACAGAUAGGAUAGUGGAUGUAGUCAAAGUCACAUUAGAGGACAACCUUGUGGAUUUAUUUGCCAAGACUCUAGUGGUUAGGAAUUUUGAAAAACAUAUAGAGGUUAAGGGAAUAUGAAAUAUGACUCAUCUACUUCAUUAGGGAAAGUGAGAGACUGUUGGAAUCUAAUUGCCUUAGUGUAGUGAUUUCGUCUAUGUACUUGUAAGUUUUUGAACAAAUUAGUUUAAUAAUAUCGAUCAAUAUCAUUAGUAUCUUUUGUAUAUUGUCCUCAAUAGUUUUUGAAUGCAAAACAAAAUAAAAGAAAAUAUUGACUCACUAAUUA